AUGAGGACAGAGCCAAAUCAUUGGGCUAGGGUUUUUUUCCUUGGUUCAAAUUGUGAGUCCGUUGACAACAACCUAUGUGAGUCCUUCAAUAAUGCCAUUAUAGAAGCAAGAUACUUCCCAAUCAUUUCCCAGCAGGAGAAGAUAAGAAAAAAGGUACUUGUUAGAGUUCAAGAGCAGAGAACCAAAAGUGCUAACUGGCCAGGAAAGAUUUGCCCAAACAUAUACAAAAAACUAAAGGUCAGGAUUGCAAGGACACAAUAUCUUGAGGUGCUUUGGAAUGGAAAAGAUGGAUUUGAGGUCAGGCAUAUGCUAGGAAGACGCAAGAGGUACACAGUCAACCUUGAGAAAUGGACAUGUUCAUGUGGAUAUUUUCAGCUAGCAUGCCUUCCAUGCUCUCAUGCCAUCAGUGCUAUCUACAAGAGUGGAAAAAAGGUAGAAGAUUUCAUUCACAAGUGCUAUUACAUUGAGACAUUCAACAAGAUAUAUGAACAUUGCCUGCAACCAGUAGAGGGUGAAUAA
rnacentral:rRNA from 1 species